GUGGUGAUGAAAUAAAUAAUCUGAUUGUGUUACUUGAAGAACCAUUUAACCUCUAAGAAGUGCUGAACAG